CUGCUUCUUUACUUCCUCUGAGAAUUUAAUGUUUUUUCUCUUCCUGUUCUUUUUUCCAGGCAUUUAUUAAUUCCUCCAAUUUGAUAUCACCCAUUCCAUUUUCAACUUUGCCUGCCCCAUCCUGUAGUUUCUCUUGUAGGCUUUUUAAUGACUCUUCAUAUUCCCAUUAUGUAGCCAUUAAAAUACCAUUUUGUUUCUUUAUCUUCUCCAUUUCCUCUUUCAUCAUCUGGUUUACUUCUCUUACUUUCUCACAUUCUUUUAGUCUCACUUUUAGUUCUGUAUUUUCUUUGUCUUGUUUUUCCACGAUGCUUGAGAUCACUUCCUUCAUAUAUCUCAUCUCUCUCUCCAUGUUUAUCAGCUUUUUCAUACCGUUCUCCUGAAAAUUUCUUGUCAGUGUUAUGUUCUUUCAAUCUCCACAGCCCUAAUGGUGUUUCAAUAAAUCUUUGGUUUUCCAGACAUGGUGAAUGUUUUGAAACCAUACAUCUGGUAGUGCCACUUACAUCAAUGUUUCCCUUAAUUUUUCACUCCAAGUGGCACCCAAAUCUUUCUUAUUUUGGAGACAGGACAGCACUAUGGCCGCAUUCCUUCCUGUACAUACAGUCUAGGUGUGCUUUGCAGCCCCUGAUGUUGGAGUGUGUUCCUCUUGGAGGUGCUGGCAACACCUCCACUCACAACGAAGUCAAGUGUGUUUGUGUGCUUGUAUGCCUAGUUGUAGAAUACAAGAAUAACAGCUGUUCUGUUUCUAUAUUUCUUAUUAUCUUAUUUGGCCUUGACAUUGUGUACUAUGUUCAUCUUCAUGUGAACCACUUCCUUUUUCAGUCCAUCCCAGAUGUGUGUACAUCAAUAGUCAUAUGCACUUAGCCUAUUUUUAAGAUUGGCAGUGCAUAUCUGUGGAUUUUCAGCAUCCUUGAGUGUAUGUGCCUAAAUCAAAUAGAUGAUAAUAACUACUGAUGACUAAGAAGACAAAAUUGUGCUGAACAACUUUUCAAAAUUAACUACUGAUUCCUUUAAACAGAAUGCUGGUAUUGAGAAAGAGGAGGAAAAGGAGAAAAAACCUUUAAAAGCAACUGUGAUCAUUAACAACGCUCCCAUCUGCCAUACCCACUCCCUGCUAAUUCCCUUCCUGGACGAGUGCUGGCCACAGGUACUAAAUCAUCACGGGCUUGCUACAGCUGUACACACCAUUCUCUUGUCCAAAUCCCCGAGUGACGGUCGUUUGCCCCACCCCCCCUCUGCAACAUGUUGGUGCGGGACUCAUCACUUGACACUCCCAGACUUACUUCCUCUUCGUCCUCUUCCUCUUCGAGUAAGAAACGGCCCCAGAAUGAUGACAACAACCAUGACGAGGAUUCCAGAACCAAGAAGGACAGGCAGGUUAUCAGCGGUGGGCAACAGAUGAGCAGGUGCGCUUCACCGCCUUCAGUUGCGGGCCCAAGUAAUGUCAACAGUGCAACAGCUGACCAGCCCGGCUAGGCCACGACCAAGCAAUUGGAUUGCCUCGGUGCUGUUAUCAGUGGUUUGAUCACCAGACUUGAGAACUUUGGCACAAGUGUCCCACAGGGAGUGCUCUCUGACUUUAGUGGUUUUCACGACUUGUCUGCCUCGGAGACAGAUGAGGUGCCUGUGCAGUGUCCACCAAACCCCUUGGAGGAUCUUGACACCUUUGGCGCCACUUCCCUGCCCGACCUUGACUCAGCUGGGUACAGUGACUCUGACUUUCUCAAGGCCCUUGAUGACCUCUCCCACCAUUUUCAUGGUAAAGAAGAAAAGGGGGACCCUCUCUCUGCUCGUCUAGCUGCCAUCCUCAAUGUGAGCCUGCGACGACGACCUAUGUCUGAAGGGAUACGCAACACUUGCUCCAAGAUUAAGCUGCCCAGUAAUGUCCUUAACCUCACGGUUCCUGUACUGCACAUAUAGGUAUCAAUUUUGGACUCUGUUAAAUAUACAUGGUGUGUUGGGUAUUGUUACAAAAUCAAUACAAGGUAUAUUGGGUAUCAGAGAUUGUUAAAUAUAUGUGAUGUAUUGGAUAUCGGACUUUAUGCUUUUACCUUUCCUGCUUGAUGAACUUCUUGGGGUUCUCAUAGGUUUAAGGAAGCACUCACUCUAAAACUCUCAUUGAAUGCCAUGGCGAUGUCAGUUUUAAAGAUCGUGAAGUGAAAUUGAUAGAUUAAACGAAUACUUACCAAGUGUGAUGUUUGAUCAUAAUUUCACGAACAUUUAAAACUGUGUCACUGAAGCAUUAAAUGUCCUCCCUGUCCUUCCCUGCCGUUCUUUUUCUUUGCCCGGUGACAACCUGGUUCUGGCUGCUUCCUCAAACCUACUCUCUGAAGACUGAAGCGAGGCUGGUGCCGCGGGUAUCUCAUUUAAUGCCUCAGUGACGCAGUUUUAAAUGUUCGUGAUUCUGAGGAAGGAGAGAGAGAGAGAGAGAGAGAGAGAGAGAGAGAGAGAGAGAGAGAGAGAGAGAGAGAGAGAGAGGAUACCUACAUGUUACUUGCUUGGUGCCGCGGGUAUCUCAUUUAAUGCCUCAGUGACGCAGUUUUAAAUGUUCGUGAUUCUGAGGAGAGAGAGAGAGAGAGAGAGAGAGAGAGA